GUAAACGAGCGACGCCGCGUGCGGGAUGAAGGGCUUCGGCUUGUAAACCGCUUUUGUUUGGGAAGAAUGCCCGGAUCGUGAAUCCGGGAGGGACGGUACCAGACGAAUAAGCCCCGGCUAACUCCGCGCCAGCAGCCGCGGUAAUACGUAUGGUGCGAACGUUGUUCGGAAUCACUGGGCAUAAAGAGCACGUAGGCGGUGGAGCAAGUCCAUUGUGAAAUCCCCCGGCUUAACCGGGGAACUGCAGUGGAUACUACUCCGCUCGAGUACAGGAGGGGAGAGUGGAAUUCCUGAUGGAGCGGUGAAAUGCGUAGAUAUCAGGAGGAACGCCGGCGGCGAAAGCGACUCUCUGGCCUGUUUCUGACGCUGAGGUGCGAAAGCUAGGGGAGCAAACGGGAUUAGAUACCCCGGUAGUCCUAGCCCUAAACGAU
rnacentral:rRNA from 1 species